GAUGAACGCUGGCGGCGUGCCUAAUACAUGCAAGUCGAGCGAACGUACGAGAAGCUUGCUUCUCUGAUGUUAGCGGCGGACGGGUGAGUAACACGUGGAUAACCUACCUAUAAGACUUGGAUAACUUCGGGAAACCGGAGCUAAUACCGGAUAAUCUUUUGAACCGCAUGGUUCAAAAGUGAAAGACGGUCUUGCUGUCACUUAUAGAUGUAUCCGCGCUGCAUUAGCUAGUUGGUAAGGUAACGGCUUACCAAGGCAACGAUGCAUAGCCGACCUGAGAGGGUGAUAGGCCACACUGGAACUGAGACACGGUCCAGACUCCUACGGGAGGCAGCAGUAGGGAAUCUUCCGCAAUGGGAGAAAGCCUGACGGAGAAACGCCGCGUGAGUGAUGAAGGUCUUCGGAUCGUAAAACUCUGUUAUUAGGGAAGAACAUAUGUGUAAGUAACUGUGCACAUCUUGACGGUACCUAAUCAGAAAGCCACGGCUAACUACGUG
rnacentral:rRNA from 1 species